rnacentral:rRNA from 1 species
UACGGGAGGCAGCAGUGGGGAAUAUUGCACAAUGGGCGCAAGCCUGAUGCAGCCAUGCCGCGUGUAUGAAAAAGGCCUUCGGGUUGUAAAGUACUUUCAGUCGUGAGGAAGGUGUUAAGGUUAAUAACCUUAGCAAUUGACGUUAGCGACAGAAGAAGCACCGGCUAACUCCGUGCCAGCAGCCGCGGUAAUACGGAGGGUGCGAGCGUUAAUCGGAAUUACUGGGCGUAAAGGGCACGCAGGCGGUUAAUUAAGUUGGAUGUGAAAUCCCCGGGCUUAACCUGGGAAUGGCAUUCAAGACUGGUUAGCUAGAGUCUUGUAGAGGGGGUAGAAUUCCAUGUGUAGCGGUGAAAUGCGUAGAGAUGUGGAGGAAUACCGGUGGCGAAGGCGGCCCCGUGGACAAAGACUGACGCUCGAUGUGCGAAAGCGUGGGGAGCAAACGAGGGAUUAGAUACCCG